rnacentral:lncRNA from 1 species
AGGAUUUGGUGUUCACUAGAUCAAAACAUUCAUUACUAACUACCCAAUCAUAAUAAAAAUUGAAUAAUAAAAACCUGCCCAUACAGGAUUACAUUUAAUAAAAAAAAUCUCCCAGGUUAUCUAACCUUUAAUUACAAUCAUUCAAAUGCGGAAUUUAAAAUUUAUUACAUCACAUCAUAUUUAAAAGUCUAUUAUCAUAACGAUAAAAAUAAAAUUACAAGUCUUCAUCACUUGUACAUUUUUCCCUUUCCUUUGCUAGUGGUAGGUUCAUUGACCUUCUCAACCUUAGCUG